rnacentral:rRNA from 1 species
GGGCCCGCACAAGCGGAGGAACAUGUGGUUUAAUUCGAUGAUACGCGAGGAACCUUACCCGGGCUUGAACUGCAGAGGAAGCAUGCGGAAACGUAUGCGCCCGCAAGGGUCUCUGCGGAGGUGCUGCAUGGUUGUCGUCAGCUCGUGCCGUGAGGUGUCGGCUCAAGUGCCAUAACGAGCGCAACCCUUGCCUUCAGUUACUAACGGACAAUGCCGAGGACUCUGAAGGGACUGCCAUCGCAAGAUGUGAGGAAGGUGGGGAUGACGUCAAAUCAGCACGGCCCUUACGUCCGGGGCUACACACGUGUUACAAUGGGGGGUACAGAAGGAAGCUGCAGCGCGAGUUGUGGCGGAUCGUCAAAGCCCCUCUCAGUUCGGACUGGAGUCUGCAACCCGACUCCACGAAGCUGGAUUCGCUAGUAAUCGCGCAUCAGCCAUGGCGCGGUGAAUACGUUCCCGGGCCUU